rnacentral:rRNA from 1 species
CCUACGGGAGGCAGCAGUAGGGAAUAUUGCACAAUGGGCGAAACCCUGAUGCAGCGACGCCGCGUGAGUGAAGAAGUAAUUCGUUAUGUAAAGCUCUAUCAGCAGGGAAGAAAAUGACGGUACCUGAGUAAGAAGCACCGGCUAACUACGUGCCAGCAGCCGCGGUAAUACGUAGGGGGCAAGCGUUAUCCGGAUUUACUGGGUGUAAAGGGAGCGUAGACGGCAGGGGAAGUCUGGAGUGAAAGGCGGGGGCUCAACCCCUGGACUGCUCUGGAUACUGUACGGCUGGAGUGCAGGAGAGGUAAGGGGAAUUCCUGGUGUAGCGGUGAAAUGCGUAGAUAUUAGGAGGAACAUCAGUGGCGAAGGCGGCUUACUGGGCUGUAAUUGACGUUGAGGCACGAAAGCGUGGGGAGCAAACAGGAUUAGAUACCCGUGUAGUC